CUCCCUGCCUGCUGCCAUGCUCCCUGCUAUGAUAAUAAUGGACUAAACCUCUGAAACUGGAAGGUACCAGCUAACACACAGACCAUACUUCCUGUGACCUGGGUAUCAUGCUAAGUGCCUAACAGAUAGGAAUUCACUCACACUCCUCCCACAGCAACCCUUUGAGGCGAGGUCUGAAAAACCAGCAAGCCUCAGUUAGGCCUGUGUAGUUAGUCUGUCGACGACAUCACCCCGCAGACCUCCCCUCCCAAAUGGAAAGUUCCUUAAGGUGCCCCUCUGGUAACCGUAUCUGAUGGACUGUCAGGUCUACAGUGCCUCCGCCACUGUCAACAACCACAUAUUUGUCACCUGGCGUGAGAGACAGUGAUUUUUAAGAUACACCAAGAAUCCGUCCCCCCUCAAACAAGCUGGUGAAUAGCUUGGACUCGGCCACUCACAUCAGCACUGCCCACGAGCACAGUGGUUUUGGUCAAUUGGCAGCAUAGCAAGUUAUUCAGUAACUAAAGAGAAUUCGGCUGUGCCCAUCCAAGAGGGCGGGCUAAGCAUGGAAGGAGAAGAAGCAGUUCAGACCAGAUCUCUCCUAUGACGUUCUCCACCAAGAAGGUCCGACUCUGCCGGUUCCGCCGAACAUGCUCCUUAGCUAGCGGCCAACAGAAAGAAAAAGGAACAAGCGUAAGAAAACUUGGAGAGGAAAAAGCGACCAUUGUCUGCAGCUGCUGGAGACAACAGCACGGUGGGUGCAGGGACGGAAUGUUUGCGGACACUUGGCCAAUAGGAUUAAUAAACACGACCUCAAAAACCAGAAA